ensembl:lncRNA
AUGGGGUUUCAGAGAGAGAUACUGGUCCUGGGACAUUACAUGGGGUUUCAGAGAGAGAGAUACUGGUCCUGGGACAUUACAUGGGGUUUCAGAGAGAGAGAUACUGGUCCUGGGACAUUACAUGGGGUUUCAGAGAGAGAGAUACUGGUCCUGGGACAUUACAUGGGGUUUCAGAGAGAGAGAUACUGGUCCUGGGACAUUACAUGGGGUUUCAGAGAGAGAGAUACUGGUCCUGGGACAUUACAUGGGGUUUCAGAGAGAGAGAUACUGGUCCUGGGACAUUACAUGGGGUUUCAGAGAGAGAGAUACUGGUCCUGGGACAUUACAUGGGGUUUCAGAGAGAGAGAUACUGGUCCUGGGACAUUACAUGGGGUUUCAGAGAGAGAGAUACUGGUCCUGGGACAUUACAUGGGGUUUCAGAGAGAGAUACUGGUCCUGGGACAUUACAUGGGGGUCUCAGAGAGAGAUACUGGUCCUGGGACAUUACAUGGGGGUCUCAGAGAGAGAUACUGGUCCUGGGACAUUACAUGGGGGUCUCAGAGAGAGAUACUGGUCCUGGGACAUUACAUGGGGGUUCAGAGAGAGAUACUGGUCCUGGGACAUUACAUGGGGUUUCAGAGAGAGAUACUGGUCCUGGGACAUUACAUGGGGUUUCAGAGAGAGAUACUGGUCCUGGGACAUUACAUGGGGUUUCAGAGAGAGAUACUGGUCCUGGGACAUUACAUGGGGUUUCAGAGAGAGAUACUGGUCCUGGGACAUUACAUGGGGUUUCAGAGAGAGAUACUGGUCCUGGGACAUUACAUGGGGUUUCAGAGAGAGAGAUACUGGUCCUGGGACAUUAGAUGGGGUUUCAGAGAGAGAGAUACUGGUCCUGGGACAUUACAUGGGGUUUCAGAGAGAGAUACUGGUCCUGGGACAUUACAUGGGGUUUCAGAGAGAUACUGGUCCUGGGACAUUACAUGGGGUUUCAGAGAGAUACUGGUCCUGGGACAUUACAUGGGGUUUCAGAGAUACUGGUCCUGGGAUAUUACAUGGGGUUUCAGAGAGAGAUACUGGUCCUGGGACAUUACAUGGGGUUUCAGAGAGAGAGAUACUGGUCCUGGGACAUUAGAUGGGGUUUCAGAGAGAGAUACUGGUCCUGGGACAUUACAUGGGGUUUCAGAGAGAUACUGGUCCUGGGACAUUACAUGGGGUUUCAGAGAGAUACUGGUCCUGGGACAUUACAUGGGGUUUCAGAGAGAGAUACUGGUCCUGGGACAUUACAUGGGGUUUCAGAGAGAGAUACUGGUCCUGGGACAUUACAUGGGGUUUCAGAGAGAGAGAUACUGGUCCUGGGACAUUACAUGGGGUUUCAGAGAGAGAGAUACUGGUCCUGGGACAUUACAUGGGGUUUCAGAGAGAGAGAUACUGGUCCUGGGACAUUACAUGGGGUUUCAGAGAGAGAGAUACUGGUCCUGGGACAUUACAUGGGGUUUCAGAGAGAGAGAUACUGGUCCUGGGACAUUACAUGGGGUUUCAGAGAGAGAGAUACUGGUCCUGGGACAUUACAUGGGGUUUCAGAGAGAGAUACUGGUCCUGGGACAUUACAUGGGGUCUCAGAGAGAGAUACUGGUCCUGGGACAUUACAUGGGGGUCUCAGAGAGAGAUACUGGUCCUGGGACAUUACAUGGGGGUCUCAGAGAGAGAUACUGGUCCUGGGACAUUACAUGGGGGUCUCAGAGAGAGAUACUGGUCCUGGGACAUUACAUGGGGUUUCAGAGAGAGAUACUGGUCCUGGGACAUUACAUGGGGUUUCAGAGAGAGAUACUGGUCCUGGGACAUUACAUGGGGUUUCAGAGAGAGAUACUGGUCCUGGGACAUUACAUGGGGUUUCAGAGAGAGAUACUGGUCCUGGGACAUUACAUGGGGUUUCAGAGAGAGAUACUGGUCCUGGGACAUUACAUGGGGUUUCAGAGAUACUGGUCCUGGGACAUUACAUGGGGUUUCAGAGAUACUGGUCCUGGGACAUUACAUGGGGUUUCAGAGAGAGAUACUGGUCCUGGGACAUUACAUGGGGUUUCAGAGAGAGAUACUGGUCCUGGGACAUUACAUGGGGUUUCAGAGAGAGAUACUGGUCCUGGGACAUUACAUGGGGUUUCAGAGAGAUACUGGUCCUGGGACAUUACAUGA